rnacentral:misc_RNA from 1 species
GUAAUAUUGGUCAGCUUCCAAUAUUUUCUUUACUAGUUCCUCAGCGUCGCACAAGAGAUGCAUCUGAAUCUGUUGACAUGACAUGGCCUAGCGAUAUAGAGCUGCUUUUUGAGUACUUUGAAUCAGAUCAACCUCAGCGAAGACUUCCAUUAUAUGAGAAGAUACAGGAACUGGUUAGGAGUGAUGAAUCCACACAGCAUAAAAUGUAUGGCGACCCAACUAAUUUGGUCUCUGUGAACCUAUAUGACCUGCACCCCAG